rnacentral:rRNA from 1 species
CAAUAGCGUAUAUUAAAGUUGUUGCGGUUAAAAAGCUCGUAGUUGGAUUUCUGUUGGGAACGACCGGUCCGCCCAUUGGGUGUGUAUCUGGCUUGUUCUCGGCAUCUUCUUGGUGAACGUUGCUGCACUUGACUGUGUGGAGCGCUACCCAGGACUUUUACUUUGAGGAAAUUAGAGUGUUUCAAGCAGGCAUAUGCCUUGAAUACAUUAGCAUGGAAUAAUAAGAUAGGACCUCGGUUCUAUUUUGUUGGUUUCUAGAGCUGAGGUAAUGAUUAAUAGGGAUAGUUGGGGGCAUUCGUAUUUAACUGUCAGAGGCGAAAUUCUUGGAUUUGUUAAAGACGGACUACUGCGAAAGCAUUUGCCAAGGAUGUUUUCAUUGA